ACGAACGCUGGCGGCAUGCCUAAUACAUGCAAGUCGCGCGUGAAAGUCCUUCGGGAUGAGUAAAGCGGCGCACGGGUGAGUAAUAUAUAGGAACGUGCCCUCCGAUGGGGAAUAACUACGGGAAACUGUAGCUAAUACCGCAUAAUGACGUGAGUCUAAAGCAGCCCUCUAUUUAUAAGGUUGCGUCGGUGGAGCGGCCUAUAUCCCAUUAGCUAGUUGGUAGGGUAAUGGCCUACCAAGGCGACGAUGGGUAGCCGGUCUGAGAGGACGAUCGGCCACAUUGGGACUGAGACACGGCCCAGACUCCUACGGGAGGCAGCAGUAGGGAAUUUUGCACAAUGGGCGCAAGCCUGAUGCAGCAAUGCCGCGUGAGUGAAGAAGGCUCUUGGGUUGUAAAGCUCUUUCGGCCAAGAAGAAGGGACUACUUGCGAACAGCCUGUAGUUUUGACGGUAUUGGAAGAAGAAGCACCUGCUAACUUCGU
rnacentral:rRNA from 1 species